UUAGGCAAAUUGUAUUCCAUCUUUGGAAUCAUCGAUUCCAUCACCAAAUUCAUAUUUCUUCCCAUUUACAGUCGGAUCUAUAAUGAAACUCAGGACACAUUUCCAAGCGCCUGCUUUCUGUUUGGCGAAAUUUUCUACGUGCCCAACGUUCUGGUCUUUGUCUUUUGUUAUUUCAUGUUGCGCCGUCGAAGUCCAAAGAGCAAAAGAAAUCCGUGGAACUAGCCCAAAAUAACGAAGGCAAUGGCCAGGCGAAUGCUGCCAAUGGCGCAGAGAUUACUAGUCUAUAAGCCAAUUAGAAUCACCGUAUACGAAUCUACAUACGCUACCUUUUCCCCAUAGACAGACAUUGCACAAGUUCUAUAUAUAACUUAUAUAUGAGCCA